rnacentral:rRNA from 1 species
ACGGGUGAGUAACGCGUGGGUAACCUGCCCUUAUAUCGGGGAUAACUUGCCGAAAGGUGAGCUAAUACCGGAUGACCUAUCGAGAUUGCAUAAUUUUGAUAGCAAAGGCGGCCUCUAUUUAUAAGCUGCCGUAUAAGGAUGGACCCGCGUCUGAUUAGCUAGUUGGUGAGGUAACGGCUCACCAAGGCGACGAUCAGUAGCCGGCCUGAGAGGGUGAACGGCCACACUGGGACUGAGACACGGCCCAGACUCCUACGGGAGGCAGCAGUGGGGAAUCUUCCGCAAUGGACGAAAGUCUGACGGAGCAACGCCGCGUGAGUGAAGAAGGUCUUCGGAUUGUAAAACUCUGUUUUUUGGGAAGAACGGUCUCUAUGUGAAUAAUGUAGAGAAUUGACGGUACCAAAGGAGGAAGCCCCGGCUAACUACGUGCCAGCAGCCGCGGUAAUACGUAGGGGGCAAGCGUUGUCCGGAAUUAUUGGGCGUAAAGAGCGCGCAGGCGGCUAUUUAAGUCUACCGUGAAAGCUUACGGCUCAACCGUAACAGGCCGGUGGAUACUGGAUGGCUUGAGGGCAGGAGAGGAAAGUGGA